GACGAACGCUGGCGGCGUGCCUAAUACAUGCAAGUCGAGCGAAGUUUUUCUGGUGCUUGCACCGGAAAAACUUAGCGGCGAACGGGUGAGUAACACGUAAAGAGCCUGCCUCAUAGACUGGGACAACUAUUGGAAACGAUAGCUAAUACCGGAUAACAGCAUUAACUGCAUGGUUGAUGUUUAAAAGUUGGUUUUGCUAACACUAUGAGAUGGCUUUGCGGUGCAUUAGCUAGUUGGUGGGGUAAAGGCCUACCAAGGCGACGAUGCAUAGCCGACCUGAGAGGGUGAUCGGCCACACUGGGACUGAGACACGGCCCAGACUCCUACGGGAGGCAGCAGUAGGGAAUCUUCCGCAAUGGGCGAAAGCCUGACGGAGCAACGCCGCGUGAGUGAAGAAGGAUUUCGGUUCGUAAAGCUCUGUUGUUAGGGAAGAAUGAUUGUGUAGUAACUAUACACAGUAGAGACGGUACCUAACCAGAAAGCCACGGCUAACUACGUG
rnacentral:rRNA from 1 species